CCUACGGGAGGCAGCAGUGGGGAAUAUUGGGCAAUGGGCGCAAGCCUGACCCAGCAACGCCGCGUGAAGGAAGAAGGCUUUCGGGUUGUAAACUUCUUUUGUCAGGGACGAAGCAAGUGACGGUACCUGACGAAUAAGCCACGGCUAACUACGUGCCAGCAGCCGCGGUAAUACGUAGGUGGCAAGCGUUAUCCGGAUUUAUUGGGUGUAAAGGGCGUGUAGGCGGGAAUGCAAGUCAGAUGUGAAAACUAUGGGCUCAACCCAUAGCCUGCAUUUGAAACUGGUGUUCUUGAGUGGGCGAGAGGUAUGCGGAAUGCGUGGUGUAGCGGUGAAAUGCAUAGAUAUCACGCGGAACUCCGGUUGCGAAGGCAGAAUACUGGAGCCCAACUGACGCUGAGGCACGAAAGCGUGGGUAUCGAACAGGAUUAGAUACCCUAGUAGUC
rnacentral:rRNA from 1 species